rnacentral:lncRNA from 1 species
UUCCAGGUCUCAGAGAAGCCACACAGCCUCUGUGUAAAACAUGACACAGAAAAAUUGCAGAUCAGCAACAUGAGAGACCUCACCAUUUUCUCCUGUCAUGAACAAAAGGUUCCACAUCCAAGUAGGGAAUGCAUUUCAGCUUCCUGAGGGAACCUACAGGGACAUGUUGAACACCAACCAUCUUGGCCAGCAUGACAGCCAGCACCACCAGUGGGGAGGACCAGAUCAUUUGUGAGCUCUACCUAAGGAAAAAAAUGGAACAAAGGACUUUGCAAUUUUUUCAUAUACCUGGAGAUGAAGGCAAUGGUUACCUGCUUCUUUCACAAGGGAAUGGAAAGCAACUCAGUCCACUGAAAGGGGAAGGCUGCUCCCCUCCUUUCCCAGAACAAGCUCCUUGUACAAAUGCUGUCUUGAAGGAUGCCAGGAAAGAGAUGGAGCAGCUUCCAACAGAAGUCCAGCUCAGGAGAUCAAGCAGCAGGAGCAUCAGUUACCACACAGAGCAAUGUUGGGCAGUGCAAGGCAUGGUGCAGCCAUCCAUGUCCCCACAACCACAAACCUGUUGCAGCAAUGGAUGCAAGUGAUACCAGAAACAGUAUUGGUGAUAGCAGUGACUUGCCAAGAUCCCCUGGAAAGACAUCUAUCAGUGCUUUUUUCUGUAAGCUGGCUCUUCACCCUAUGUACACAGCAGACAAGAAACCCAGAAAAGAGGUUUCAAAGCAGUCUAAAUCUGUGUCGGAAAGGUAACACUGGUGUGUGUUGUGUCAAGUGAACUUUCAUUAAUAAAAAGAGCAGUAUUGUGUAUGUGUGUUGCUGA